GACGAACGCUGGCGGCGUGCUUAACACAUGCAAGUCGAGCGAGGCCCCUCCUUCGGGAGGGUGUCCUAGCGGCGAACGGGUGAGUAACACGUGGGCAACCUGCCCUCAGCUCUGGGAUAACUCCGGGAAACCGGGGCUAAUACCGGAUACGACCUCCACGGGCAUCUGCGGAGGUGGAAAGUUUUUCGGCUGGGGAUGGGCCCGCGGCCUAUCAGCUAGUUGGUGGGGUAGUGGCCCACCAAGGCGACGACGGGUAGCCGGCCUGAGAGGGCGACCGGCCACACUGGGACUGAGACACGGCCCAGACUCCUACGGGAGGCAGCAGUGGGGAAUAUUGCGCAAUGGGCGAAAGCCUGACGCAGCGACGCCGCGUGAGGGACGAAGGCCUUCGGGUUGUAAACCUCUUUCAGCAGGGACGAAGCGAAAGUGACGGUACCUGCAGAAGAAGCACCGGCCAACUACGUG
rnacentral:rRNA from 1 species